rnacentral:rRNA from 1 species
AAUCUUGUGCCAGCCACCGCGGUCAUACAAGAGACUCAAAUUAACUGUAUGCGGCGUAAAGAGUGGUACCCUGAUAUCACAAUAACUAGGAUUGAAAUGCAGCUAAGCUGUCAUAAGCCUAAGGUGCGCUUAAAAUCCCCUCUAAAAUGAUCCUAGUAUUUCUGAUCAAUUUAACCCCACGAAAGCUAGGGUACAAACUGGGAUUAGAUACCCCACUAUGCCUAGCCCUAAAUCUUGAUGCUUACCGUACCAAAGCAUCCGCCUGAGAACUACGAGCACAAACGCUUAAAACUCUAAGGACUUGGCGGUGCUCCAAACCCACCUAGAGGAGCCUGUUCUAUAAUCGAUAAUCCACGAUUCACCCGACCACCCCUUGCCAGAGCAGCCUACAUACCGCCGUCGCCAGCUCACCUCUCCUGAGAGCCCAACAGUGAGCACAAUAGCCCAACCCGCUAGCAAGACAGGUCUAGGUAUAGCCUAUGGGGUGGAAGAAAUGGGCUACAUUUUCUACGAUAGAAAACCCACGAAAAGGGGUAUGAAAUAACCCCUGGAAGGCGGAUUUAGCAGUAAAGGAGGAUAAUAUAGCCCCCUUUAAGUUGGCCCUGGAGCACGUACAUACCGCCCGUCACCCUCUUCACAAGCCACUAGCUAUCAUAACUAAUAAACUUUCCGGCUGAAGACGAGGUAAGUCGUAACAAGGUAAGUGUACCGGAAGGUGUACUUAGCAUAU